AACAUGGUGGAUGUUGAGAAACAUUUAUUGAACUGAAGUUCCUGUGAACUCUGCUCCUUCCUCUCUUGCCACUGACUUUUAUUUUGUUACUAAACCUUUAAUAUGGACCAGAGUUUCCAUACUUUUUUUUUCUUUCUUUAUGCUUUCUUACUGAUUCCUCUACUCCUAAAGCAUCACCUAUUCUGUGAAGAUGACCCCAGACCUGUUUUCUUGUCAAGCUAUUCUGAUAACAAGACCAUUUGUUUUCAAAGUCGUAUGUCAGACAUCUCUACAUGCAUAUUUCUCCAUAUCUUAAGCAACAGAAACUUAGCACACCAAACUUAGUAUCUUCUCUUUAAACACUCUCCUUUAUGUGUUUGCUGUUUUAUUCACACCCCUAACUUCCUGAUUACCUAGGCUAGUUAGCAUUCUAGGAAAUACCUUGACUUCUUUUUAUCUUACACUCUUUGCCUAAUCAGUGAUCAAUACUUGUCUAUCCUGCCUUUGAAUGUUUUUCACAUUUGGCUCCCCCUUGUGAUCUCCACCUUUGGUAGUUUAGUUUGGACUCUUAUCUCUUACCUACAUUGCAGCAGUAGUCUCUUAACUGACCUCCUCUCUAAUCUGUCUUCCAUGGUGUUGUCAGAACUAUCUUCCUAAAACACAGUUCUGUUGUUACUAUGUGUUUAUUGCUUAACUAACUUACUCAUUGUCAGGUCUCAGCUUCGAUGUCAUUUCUGAAUAAAGACAACCUAAAGUAGUUUUCCUGUAGUUCUGUUUCAUGUCCCUUUCCCAUUGACAUGUAAUAGUUUUUAUAUUUGAACACUGAUUUGUUUAAUGUGUCUUCCCACUGGAGAGAUUUAUGUAAGCGACUGCGGAGAGUGAUGCACACCCUGUGCCUAGCACAGUGCUUUGGAUAUAGUAAUGCUUAAAAAGUAUUUGUUGAAUGAUUGGGUGGAUAAUAGAUGGCUUAUCACUAUAGGGAAACCGGAGAUAGCAAAGGCAGAAAAGAUACAGGAUCCUAGAAUCUUCUUACAUUUUCACAGACCUUGGUCUAUAGGUCUAGCCUUCUGAACUAGUAAUGGGCUUUCCUCCGCCACCCCACCUCCCCAUUUGCAUUUACUUCCCUGAGGAUGGGAGUAGUCAAUACCCCACACUCACUCUACUGCUGAUUGACUAUAGUUGAUCUGGGGGCUGUAGGGUAGUGGCAGCUAGAUUUGUUUACCUGUUAAUGCAUAGGUGGUGCUCCAGGUGUGCAGGCAAACAGGUAUUUGCUAAAUUGAGUUAACCCAGAUUCCUUUUUAGCCUCUUGAGUGAUGCAGGCCUAUGUACCUCAUGUUAAUUAAGGUGUUUAUUAUUUGUAGAACUAGUUGUGUUUGAAAUGAGUUAUUUAUUUGCCUCUUAAAGACUAAAUAUUUUUUAAUUUAGCAAACUUAUUGAAUGUAAAAUGAAAAUUAUAUUUUAAAAUGUUAUCUAGAGACAGAUUAGUAAUGGUAAGCAAAUUAAACUCCCCCUUGUGGAGCAUUCUCAGGUUUUAAAAGUCAAAAGAAUUUCAUAAUAUUCUUUAGAUUUCACUGUCUCUUAAGACUUGCUUCAUCCAUUCAGUAGAUAUACUGAGCUCCUGCUUUGUGUAAGGCAUUGAAUUAGGUACUAGGGUUACAGAGAUAAGAAAUGCAAUUCCUUCUCUCAAGUACUGUGAAAGAAGAACACCAUAUAAGGAUACACAGAAAUUAAGACACACUGAGGGAUUGGUGAAGCCUUCUCAUAACACAUUCAUUCAUUUUUAAGUUGAGUUUUGAAAGAGCUAGGAAGAAAACCUUUCCAGGUAGGUACAGAAGACAUGAGACCACAUGUAGACCAAGGGAAGGAGUAUUGCCAAAUCAAGAAAGAUACCAAGAAGAAUAGUUUAAAUCAUAUUUUCAAAAUUAAGGACAGCUGUCGAAGGGUUUUAAGCCAAGGGCAUCUGAUAGAAUUGAGGAGAUUGAAUUGGAGGUAGGAGAAGGGUAAGACUUGUGGUAGGGAAGUCAAAUAGAAACUAGUUUCAGAAAUUUAAAUAAGAAGUGAUAAGAGCCUAAAUUUAGAUAAUGGCACUGAGUCUAUGGAGAUGGAUAUACAUACUGUAAUUAUUUCGAAAGUGGAAUCUUUGGAGUUGAAGACGGAGUCUAGUGUGAUUACCAGGCUUAGACAUUUUGGUUGGCCAGGUGGGUGGAACAAUUCUUCAAGGUGGAACACAGGAGAAGGAAUACUUUUCCAGUGGGGAAAGUGUUGAAUUAAAGUUAGGAUGAGUUUGAAGUGCUUAUAGGACAUCUAAUCGGUGAUGCUUAGCAUGAGUGGGAUAUAGACUAGACGUCAGGAGAGAGACUGCCCAGGGGCUCUCCAUUUAGGAGUCUCAUCUACCUGUGGUUGUUGAAACCAUGGGUUGCAAAGAGAUUGCUGGGAAGAAUAAAUAGUCAACAUAUCAUACCAAUUCUCACAUUCUUUUUAUUUAUUAUAUAAUUUGGGUCAGUGCCUGCCCACCUCAGUUUUUCAUUUGGAAAUGAUGUUUGGCUAGCAUUGGUUCUCUUUCUGUCUCCUCCCCACCACUACAUAUGAAAGCUAUAGUAUGUUAUUUGAUACCACUCUAAGAAGUGCUGGAUAAUUAAAUUGUAGUAGUAUUAGGCAGUGUGAACUGAUCUGUGUAUGGUAUUUAGAGGGCUUUUUCAAAAGUCUAAGAUAAAGACAUAUUUUCAUAGAUGAUUUCUUUAAAAAAGAAAUCUUAUUUUUUUUAAAUAAAACAAUCUAUUAAUUUUCUGGACUGAACAAGAUGUGUUUAAGUCCCAAAGCUUUGGUCUAUCCAGAAGUUGUUUGUGACUUAGUCCCUAUGUCUCUGACCAAGGCAGAAACUAUUUCUGAAAAUUAGGAGGAGGCCAUCUGGGUAAACUAAUAGAAUCUGACAUAAUGCAUAAGAUAAACUUAAGUAAUUUAGGUUCAUAGCCAGGUUCUAAGGGAAAAAAUAUGCUAUUAAACAUGGAACAGAUGAUUGAAAUAAAUUGUAGUAAGCUUACUUUGCCAAACUUUUGCACUAUUUGGACUGGUGAAUACUUAAAAUAACAGUAAAUGAAAUCUGCCCUGCAUUGUCAUGUAUGUUUCUGUGGCUCUCAUGGGUUUCUAUUUUUUUUUAGCUCCAUUCUGAAGGAAGAACCUAACAAUAAAACUUUAAAUCUUACCAUUUAUGAUAACCACUGGAGGGAGUUCCCUGGUGGCCUAGUGGGUUAAGGAUCUGGCAUUGUCACUGCUGUGGCUCUGGUCACUGAUGUGGUGUGGGUUUGAUCUCUGGCCUGGGAACUUAUGCAUGUCAUGGGUGUGGCCAAAAAAAGAUAACUGCUAGAGUUCAGCUGGAGAUUUUUGUCCUCUCAGAACUGAGAUGAAGUAGCUUUCCCUGCCAGGCCAGUGGAUGUUUAGGAGGGUACGCAGAAUGACUUUUAAGAAGUCACCCCUGCUUGAGAUUGAGACUAGUGAUUUAAUACUGAAAGCAUAGGUCUGCGUGCCAUUUAAGCUAUCCAACUUUUUUUUUUUUUUUUUUGGCCACCAUGUGCUAGUUCCUGGGCAAGGGGUCAAACCUACGCCACAGCAGCUACAGGAGCCACAGCAGUGCUAAUGCCUGAUCCUUAACCUGCUGCACCACAGGGGAACUCCUAAGCUAUCUAACUUUUGAUUCAUUUUAAAAAUCUGCUUUUAAAGGAAAGAAUUCCCUGGAGACUGUGUGUCAGGUUUCAAUAGAGCAAAUUUUAUGGAUGAGUUAUGACCCUUAAAACUGAAGUCAGUAAUAGAAAUGCUGACGGAGUUGAACUAGAAGAGAUAAUUAUACUAAAACGACAUUCUAUUACAAUCUUAUCUGUAGUAAAAUGAGAAAAAAAACUUUCAAGUUUUCUUUUGUAAUACUUAGAGAAUGGUUUCUUGUUAUUUGAACUUUAAUCAACAGUAGGCAUCAGCAUAAACCUAAUAACUAUGUCAAAAUAACACAAGGCUCAUAAUUAUUUUAAAUUAUAAACUUUAAUACCUGUUCCAAAUCUUCCUUUUUAAAUAAAUUUGUUUCUAAACAC
rnacentral:lncRNA from 1 species